rnacentral:rRNA from 1 species
AUGGCGGCAGUCCAUCUCUCCGAUGCUCGGUCGCCGAUGUCCCGCUCGAGGCUCUCGAUCUCGUCGCUGCAGCUGGCCGGGUCGUUGAUGCCAACCUCCUCCAGGAUCUCCUCCAGCCUCUCCCGCUCGGGCACGAUCUCCCGCUCGAUUUCCUCGAUCAGCGACAGCACGGUGGUCUUGAGCGCCGGCUCCGGCUCGGCGGCCGACGCGCAACGGCGGCACUGGCGCGAGGCGAGGGCGAGGAGGUCCAUGACGUCGUCGGCGAGGCCGAGCUCGACGACGGGCAGGAGGUCGAGCAGCGUGGCGAGGUCGUGGUGCAGGUCCCGCAGCUCGGCGUCCAUCUCGUCCGACUGCAGCAGCAGCAGCGUGCGGCUCCGCGCGGCGCAGUCGGCCACCAUGGCCUUGAAGCGCUGCAGCACGAGGAGCACCUCCCGCAGGCACAGCGAGGCCGACCGCGGCAGGUCGCCUUCGCCCGCCGGGUUGAUUAGGGGAAAAGGCAGGGGGGGUUUAUCAAAAGUGCGUGCAUUGACCGGGCCAGCCACCUGGCUGCCAAUUGUCGUUUUCUGA